rnacentral:rRNA from 1 species
UACGGAGGGUGCGAGCGUUGUCCGGAAUCAUUGGGCGUAAAGGGCGCGUAGGUGGCUUCUUAAGCGUGCGGUGAAAGCCUGGGGCUCAACCCCCGGGUCGGCCGUGCGAACUGGGGGGCUGGAGCACUGUAGAGGCAGGCGGAAUUCCGGGUGUAGCGGUGGAAUGCGUAGAGAUCCGGAAGAACACCGGUGGCGAAGGCGGCCGCUGGGCAGUUGCUGACACUGAGGCGCGACAGCGUGGGAG